rnacentral:rRNA from 1 species
GACGAACGCUGGCGGCGUGCUUAACACAUGCAAGUCGAGCGGUAAGGCCCUUUCGGGGGUACACGAGCGGCGAACGGGUGAGUAACACGUGGGUGACCUGCCCUCAGCUCUGGGGAUAAGCCUGGGAAACCGGGUCUAAUACUGGAUAUGACUCCAUGACGCAUGUUGUGGGGUGGAAAGCCUUGUGCGGCUGAGGAUGGGCCCGCGGCCUAUCAGCUUGUUGGUGGGGUGAUGGCCUACCAAGGCGACGACGGGUAGCCGGCCUGAGAGGGCGACCGGCCACACUGGGACUGAGACACGGCCCAGACUCCUACGGGAGGCAGCAGUGGGGAAUCUUGCGCAAUGGGCGAAAGCCUGACGCAGCGACGCCGCGUGAGGGAUGAC